GAUCAAAGCCGGGGAUCGCAAGACCUGGCACUCGGAGAGGGGCCCGCGUCCGAUUAGCUAGUUGGUGGGGUAACGGCUCACCAAGGCAACGAUCGGUAGCCGGCCUGAGAGGGCGGACGGCCACACUGGGACUGAGACACGGCCCAGACUCCUACGGGAGGCAGCAGUGGGGAAUUGUUCGCAAUGGGCGCAAGCCUGACGACGCAACGCCGCGUGGAGGAUGAAGAUCUUCGGGUCGUAAACUCCUUUCGAUCGAGACGAACGACUUCCGGGUGAACAAUCCGGGAGAGUGACGGUACCGAGAGAAGAAGCCCCGGCUAACUCCGUGCCAGCAGCCGCGGUAAUACGGGGGGGGCAAGCGUUGUUCGGAAUUACUGGGCGUAAAGGGCUUGUAGGCGGCCAACUAAGUCAGACGUGAAAUCCCUCGGCUUAACCGGGGAACUGCGUCUGAUACUGGAUGGCUUGAGUUUGGGAGAGGGAUGCGGAAUUCCAGGUGUAGCGGUGAAAUGCGUAGAUAUCUGGAGGAACACCGGUGGCGAAGGCGGCAUCCUGGACCAACACUGACGCUGAGGAGCGAAAGCCAGGGGAGCAAACGGGAUUAGAUACCCCGGUAGUCCUGGCCCUAAACGAUGAAUGCUUGGUGUGGCGGGUAUCGAUCCCUGCCGUGCCGAAGCUAACGCAUUAAGCAUUCCGCCUGGGGAGUACGGUCGCAGGGCUGAAACUCAAAGGAAUUGACGG
rnacentral:rRNA from 1 species